UACGUAGGGGGCAAGCGUUGUCCGGAAUCAUUGGGCGUAAAGAGCGUGUAGGCGGUUCGGUAAGUCGGCUGUGAAAGUCCAGGGCUCAACCCUGGGAUGCCGGUCGAUACUGCCGGACUAGAGUUCGGAAGAGGCGAGUGGAAUUCCCGGUGUAGCGGUGAAAUGCGCAGAUAUCGGGAGGAACACCAAUGGCGAAGGCAGCUCGCUGGGACGUGACUGACGCUGAGACGCGAAAGCGUGGGGAGCAAACAGG
rnacentral:rRNA from 1 species